CAGCCGCCACGGUAAAACGGGGGGGCAAGUGUUAUUCGGAAUGACUGGGCGUAAAGGGCACGUAGGCGGUGAAAAGGGUGGAAAGUGAAAGUCGCCAAAACACUGGCGGGGUGCUUUCUUGACCAUUUCACUUGAGUGAGAUAGGGGAGAGUGGGAUUUCGUGUGGAGGGAUCAAAUCCUAAGAUAUACGAAGGAACGCCAACCGCGAAGGCAGCUCUCUGGGUCCCCACUGACGCUGGGGUGCGAAAGCAUGGGGAGCAAACAGGAUCAGAUACCCCGGUAGUCCCUGUCUCUUAUACAC
rnacentral:rRNA from 1 species